CGCUCAGCCAAGGCACGGCAGCCAGUGUGAGCUCCGACUAGACCUGUCUUGCGACAGCGUGAGUCGCCACCAUGCGCUGCACCGCACUGCUCUUUGUCGCCCUCGCCGGGUCCGCCCUGGCAGGACCAACGGGCCAAAGAUCAACCUGCGCCCUGCACUGCAAUGACGCGGAAAGUUAUGCAUAUGAAAGCGGCAAAAGUUAUGUUUACGAAUACUCGGUGACGACCUCCACCGCCCUCCUGGGA